GGGGCUGUCUGCUAGUCUGGUCUAGACAUUAUGGGAUUAGCUUCGUGGCUUGGGUGCAUAUAGGCAAAGAAACCACGAGAUCGCCGGUUCAAAUCCGGCCGGCCCCA
rnacentral:tRNA from 1 species